rnacentral:misc_RNA from 1 species
GAUGAAGAACGUAGCGAAAUGCGAUAAGUAGUGUGAAUUGCAGAAUUCAGUGAAUCAUCGAAUCUUUGAACGCACAUUGCGCCCCUUGGUAUUCCAUGGGGCAUGCCUGUUCGAGCGCCAUUUGUACCUUCAAGCUCUGCUUGGUGUUGGGUGUUUGUCUCGCCUCUGCGUGUAGACUCGCCUCAAAACAAUUGGCAGCCGGCGUAUUGAUUUCGGAGCGCAGUACAUCUCGCGCUUUGCACUCAUAACGACGACGUCCAAAAGUACAUUUUUACACUCUUGACCUCAGAUCAGGUAGGGAUACCCGCUGAACUUAAGCAUAUCAAUAAGCGGAGGA